rnacentral:rRNA from 1 species
UACAGAGGGUGCAAGCGUUAAUCGGAAUUACUGGGCGUAAAGCGCGCGUAGGUGGUUCGUUAAGUUGGAUGUGAAAUCCCCCGGCUCAACUGGGGAAUUGCACGGGAAACUGCGGGGCUUGAGUUCGGGAGAGGGAAGCGGAAUUCCGGGUGUAGCGGUGAAAUGCAUAGAUAUCCGGAGGAACACCGGUGGCGAAGGCGGCUUCCUGGACCGACACUGACGCUGAGGCGCGAAAGCUAGGGGAGCAAACGGG